rnacentral:tRNA from 1 species
UUAAUUGAAGCCAAAGUAGAGGCACAUUACUGUUCAUAACAUAACUGAACCAAAGAUCAAAUUAAG